AGCCCCGUGGUGCAGUGGCCAAACAUGGCCGGCUUUGGACCGGCAGACCGAGGUUCGAAUCCUCGCGGGGCUACCA
rnacentral:tRNA from 1 species